CGAGAUUGUGACCAUGUUUGUUUCAGCAGACCCGGCCAGGAUGGACAGUGAUCAGGGCCCACUCUGAAAGGCCUGGGACCUUUGCACAACCACGGUGGUGGUGACAGCUGUUGGGGGGAGUUGGGAGCAGGAACCCUAAAUGACAGAUGGUUUCCUGUCCACUCAGCAGGCUGAGGGUCCACCUGGAAGAUACCAAGGCGAUGGGGCUUGGUGCCGUCCUGAGUUUGCAGGCCGAGGCUCACGCUGCUCUGCCAACACUCACAUACAGUAUCCGCAUCAAAGGCUGAGUGUGGCCAAGUGAAGGAGAAAGCCCCUGUGCGGGCACCUGCAGAGGCGUCCACCCUGCCCAGGGGCCUCUGGGGACGCAGCGCCCACCCUGCCCAGGGGCCUCUGGGGACGCAGCGACCCACUGACCAGUGAGCGCAGAUGAGCGACUGCACCUCUCUGCUUCAGCUCUUCAUGGCCAGAUGGGAGGACAAUCCCCACCUUGCAAGGUGGCGUUAAGGACUGAGAAAGAACGAGCACCAGGCCUGGCCCCAUGAGCACUGCUGGGUCUGGAUCCAGGCGCCGUCCACCUUCCACCCGGCAGCACUAAUGCUUCCCUCCCCGGCUGCACUGGCCCUUAUCUGGGGGUCAGGAACUCACGUGCUGAAUAAAGAGCAACUCUUUUCCAGACAGGAACGUUGGGUGUAGCAGGGACAGGCACUGGGGCUGAAGUUGCUUUUCCAAGGAGACGGUUUGGAGUGGUGCCUUCCAGAAAGGAGC
rnacentral:lncRNA from 1 species